UAACCGUAUAGGGGAGCCGAAGGGAAACCGAGUCUUAACUGGGCGUUAAGUUGCAGGGUAUAGACCCGAAACCCGGUGAUCUAGCCAUGGGCAGGUUGAAGGUUGGGUAACACUAACUGGAGGACCGAACCGACUAAUGUUGAAAAAUUAGCGGAUGACCUGUGGCUGGGGGUGAAAGGCCAAUCAAACCGGGAGAUAGCUGGUUCUCCCCGAAAGCUAUUUAGGUAGCGCCUCGUGAAUUCAUCUCCGGGGGUAGAGCACUGUUUCGGCUAGGGGGCCAUCCCGGCUUACCAACCCGAUGCAAACUGCGAAUACCGGAGAAUGUUAUCACGGGAGACACACGGCGGGUGCUAACGUCCGUCGUGAAGAGGGAAACAACCCAGACCGCCAGCUAAGGUCCCAAAGUCAUGGUUAAGUGGGAAACGAUGUGGGAAGGCCCAGACAGCCAGGAUGUUGGCUUAGAAGCAGCCAUCAUUUAAAGAAAGCGUAAUAGCUCACUGGUCGAGUCGGCCUGCGCGGAAGAUGUAACGGGGCUAAACCAUGCACCGAAGCUGCGGCAGCGACGCUGAUGCGUUGUUGGGUAGGGGAGCGUUCUGUAAGCCUGUGAAGGUGGCCUGUGAGGGUUGCUGGAGGUAUCAGAAGU
rnacentral:rRNA from 1 species